GAAUUAAUUUUCUUUUAAACUUGAAAAUUUUAGAUUUAUUUUAUUUUUUUUAAAAAAAUAGAGUAAAACCCCUCUUCAAAUUAAUUGUUCUAAUCCGCCUAGGUUAAUUGUAAAAGAUUGCGAAUAAAUAAUUUUAAUCUCUGUGGAUCGAAUCAUAAAUAUUAAAACGGUGAUCGUGCGCUUGCGAUUUAUAAAAGGUAAUAUCUUUAGAAAAUCUGCCUCAGCUCCGUAGGCUAACUAAAAGGGGGUUGCUCCAGUCGAG
rnacentral:lncRNA from 1 species